rnacentral:SRP_RNA from 1 species
GCUUAUUAAAAACACAGACUUCCAGCUGUGGGAGACUGAGGCGAGAGGAUCUCUUGAGCCCAGGAGUUCUGGGCUGUAGUGUGCUUUGCCAAUUGGGUGUCCACACUAAGUUUGGCAUCAAUAUGGUGACCUCCUGAGAGGGGGGACUACCAGGUUGCCUAAGGAGGGGUGAACUGAAAUGGAGCAGGUCAAAACUCCUUUGUUGAUUAGUAGCGGGAUCGUGCCUGUGAAUAGUCACUACACUCCAGCCUGGGCAACAUAGUGAGACCCCGGAUCU